AUUGAACGCUGGCGGCAGGCUUAACACAUGCAAGUCGAGCGAGCGGCGGACGGGUGAGUAAUGUCUGGGAAACUGCCCGAUGGAGGGGGAUAAAUACUGGAAACGGUAGCUCAUACCGCAUACCAUCAGAUGUGCCCAGAUGGGAGUGGCUAGUAGGUGGGGUAACGGCUCACCUAGGCGACGAUCCCUAGCUGGUCUGAGAGGAUGACCAGCCACACUGGAACUGAGACACGGUCCAGACUCCGACGGGAGGCAGCAGUGGGGAAUAUUGCACAAUGGGCGCAAGCCUGAUGCAGCCAUGCCGCGUGUGUGAAGAAGGCCGUCGGGUUGUAAAGCACUUUCAGCGGGGAGGCGUUACCCGCAGAAGAAGCACCGGCUAACUCCGUGCCAGCAGCCGCGGUAAUAC
rnacentral:rRNA from 1 species